rnacentral:misc_RNA from 1 species
CUCCAGCCCGGCGUWUGGCGCUAGCUGUCUAGGAAGGCUGCGUGAGAUGUUCUCGAUAGGCCGGGCUCUCCCAGCCGACGCCAGGUAGCGAGGCAGUCGUCUCGUCUCUGUCCGUGUGUGGCCGCAGCUCGAAGCCGAGGGGGCGGUUUGAGCGUGCAAGCGAGUGAUUAUUGUGUUCGGCUCGGUCUCGAAUGGCACGCGCUCUCUGGACGAGCAGCGUGUCGGCAAUCAGAAAGUUGGCAUAGCCUUAUGCGUUUCGGUCAGUCCUGCCCGGCGUAGCAGAAGCAUGUCGGAAGGCGUCCAGUGGUUGGCAUGUAUCACCGGGCAGCCGGCGGAGGCGCGCUGAGCGAUGACUCCCCGGGCUUGCGUGUGCAUGAAUAGUCCUAUUCGGUGCGACAGAUAUCUGGUUGAUCCUGCCAGU